rnacentral:rRNA from 1 species
CAUGGCCGUUAACGACGAGUGGAGUGAUCUUUGGGUUAAGUCCGUAAAUUAGUGAGACCUCAGCCGUAAGGGACAGGUGCGCAAAGCACAGGAAGGAUGGGUCAAGGACAGGUCAGUGAUGCCCUUAGAUGGUCCGGGCUGCACGCGCACUACAGUGGUCGCCGAAAUUACCUGAUAAUUUUAAAGGCGAUCGAGAGGAAAUGAGCUUUGUAAGAGGCUCAGGAACGAGGAAUUGCUAGUAAUCGCGGACUCAUUAAGACGCGAUGAAUACGUCCCUGUUCUUUGUACACACCGCCCGUCGUUAUCGAAGAUGAAGAUAGGCGCGAACGAUCUACCAGAAAGUGAGCGCAGGUCUUUAGAUCUGAUACAAGUCGUAACAAGGUAGCUGUAGGAGAACCUGUAGCUGG